CAAUCUGUCAAAUGAGUGAAAGUGGAGUUUUAAAUCUCAUGUCGGACAGGAUCUCCUUUGUCAAUAAGAUAAGUGUUAUCCUGAAAGCCACCUCUGAUGAUGAUACGCCAGUGCCAGGAUACAUGUACCAGCAAAUCAGUGAUAUCAGCCAUGAGUCUGUUGGUUACUGUGAAAGUCUACUGGAAUUCUUAGUGGAACGACUCGAUAAAAAUUCAUACCAUGUGAAGCUAAAGGUUCUCAAGUUAAUGAAGUAUAUAAUUGAAAAUGGACAUGCCAACUUCCAGAUUGGUUUGAGGAAAAUGUCACAUGGCAUCCAGGCUGCUACUAAGUUUGGAGGUCCCCCUGAUCCUCUGCAUGGAAAUGUUCCUUAUGCAAUGGUGAGAAAAGAAGCUCAGGGAAUAUGUGAGAAGCUGUUUAAUGUUGAAGUUGCGUCUUCUGAAGAAGUAGUGGAAGAAAAUUACUCUGCAAAUAAGACAUACAAUAUUGUGGGUAUGGGUCCAUCCUCUGUAAACAGUGGUGGAGGCAGAAUAGAAGGAUUUGGAAAUUACUCCUCUAAUCAGCAAAAAUCUUUGGCUGAUACAAUAAUAGACGGUAUUGGUAAGCUGGCUGAGCGUCUGGGCGAGAGUCCGGUAGACAAACAGAAGGUUUUGUUAGACUCAUUAGAGAAGUCCUCCAGCAAGUACUGUCCUCCAGUUGUGUGGCCAUCAGACCCACUCACAACAGAUGAAUCAGGAGACAACACUUUGCCAGUAAUGCCUAAAAAAGUUUCGAGGAAACACGUCCCUGGUCGUGCUGGUGGAGGCUGGGAUUAUGUGGAUCCGGUAGGUGCUGCCUCGUUAGGUCAAGAUCGUUCUCACAGUCACAGUGAUUGCAGCUCGGAGUUCACCGAAAGACCUGUCAACUCUCCCAGAUUCCGCGGGAGUCUCCCGGUAUUUGAUCAAACCUCUCACUACCCUGCGCAGGAGAAAAAAUCUCCUGUUAGAUUACAUUUUUACUGGAGUGUUCAAACUUACACUCAGCGGACUGGAGCACAGAAGUUGACUUGGUUAACUCAACAGUGGAAGACGAGUCACGGCCACUUCUCACCAGGCAGGAAAUUGCAACAUUUCAGAACAAAUGUGCCUCACUAAAUACUGACAAAAUAGUGGAAUUCCUCGCCGAGAAGCUCUACUCUCCUCAUGAUUACAUCGUUCUUAAAAGCCUGUUGUUGGUAGAAAACUUCCUUCGCUGUGAUUUGAUUGGUUUGGAGUUCCUGGCUGCUACAUGCAAAGAGUCAUUGCUUGGUGUAUACAUGAAGUGGGAGGGACCAUGCCGAGCUAAAGCGAGAAAG
rnacentral:misc_RNA from 1 species